rnacentral:rRNA from 2 species
UCGCCUGUUUAUCAAAAACAUAGUUUAGUGAUGAAAAAUACUAAAUGAAUUCUGCCCAGUGUAUUUGAAAAUAAAUGGCCGCAGUACCCUGACUGUGCUAAGGUAGCAUAAUCAAUUGGCUUUUAAUUGAAGUCUGGAAUGAAAGAAAUAAUGAAGAAAUGCUGUCUUAAAGAUAUUGAUUUUAAUUUAUUAAAAAGGUGAAAAUACCUUUUUUAAAAAAAAAGACGAGAAGACCCUAAGAAUUUUUAAUUAAUUUUUUAAUGAUUAAUUUUUUGUUGGGGCGACAAAUUAGAAUUUUAAACCUAAUUUUUUUAAACAGGCGAAUUUUUUAAGGAAUAAAAAAUUACCUUAGGGAUAACAGCAUAAUAUUGUUAAAAUGUUUGUGACCUCGAUGUUGGACUAGGAACUUUAUGGCUAGCAGUCAGAAGAGAUUUAUUCUGUUCGAAUAAUUUUAUCCUACGUGAUCUGAGUUCAGACCGGA